rnacentral:rRNA from 1 species
GACGAACGCUGGCGGCGUGCCUAAUACAUGCAAGUCGAGCGAAGCGGCGGACGGGUGAGUAACACGUAAGGAACCUACCGAUAAGCGGGGGACAACAUACGGAAACGGGUGCUAAUACCGCAUACUUAUCGAUGGCCUUAUGGGGCAUUAGCUCGUUGGUGGGGUAACGGCCUACCAAGGCAAUGAUGCAUAGCUGACCUGACAGGGUAACCGGCCACACUGGGACUGAGACACGGCCCAAACUCCUACGGGAGGCAGCAGUAGGGAAUAUUCCGCAAUGGGCGCAAGCCUGACGGAGCAACGCCGCGUGAGUGAAGAAGGUUUUCGGAUUGUAAAGCUCUGUCGUAAGAGAAGCGGUACCUUACGAGAAAGCACCGGCUAACUACGUGCCAGCAGCCGCGGUAAUUC